rnacentral:rRNA from 1 species
CGGCGGACGGGUGAGUAACACGUGGGUAACCUACCUAUAAGACUGGGACAACUUCGGGAAACCGGAGCUAAUACCGGAUAAGAUAUCGAACCGCAUGGUUCGAUAGUGAAAGANGGUUUUGCUAUCACUUAUAGAUGGACCCGCGCCGUAUUAGCUAGUUGGUGAGGUAACGGCUCACCAAGGCAACGAUACGUAGCCGACCUGAGAGGGUGAUCGGCCACACUGGAACUGAGACACGGUCCAGACUCCUACGGGAGGCAGCAGG